CAGACAAGGAUGAGACGCACAGAGGCACAGUGCAGCUGACAGAUUCCGAAAGUGGUGUCCUUCCGCCCCCAUCACGGGCUUCCUCCUCAUUCACCAGGAGAGUUCUGCAAUCGCCAUGACCCCUUUGAGUUAUGGACUACUUAUUCCGUGGAGCACCUUCAGUCUGUGAGGCUAGUGUUUUCCUACUUCCAUUCAAAGACCCAUCCUCUACAUCUGAAGGUGGCAGAGACACGCUCUGAGUUCCCUCCAGUGUCCCAUCAGAGGAUGCUCCAUUUGCCUGUCCUCUUGGGAACAACGUAAAAGACACUUCCCAGGUUCUCCACUGUAAAGACUUUCCUUUUCUCCGUACUAGUAACAAGUGCUUCGUGAAGAUGAACUGGAAAUACUGUGGCUCCUGUCACAGUUUCAAGCUCCUAGUUACAUGUGUGCGGCUCACGGCAUGGACUCCAGGAGUGAGAAUCUACUCAUGUUGUCUGUUUUUCUGCUCAUGUCAUCCCAGACUUAGUCAAUGUAGUCCUCUUUAUUAUAUGGCUUCCCAGCUUUUGACAUGUAUCAUCAUUUUUUUUCAUGUUGUUUUCUGGUCACUUCCUUGUUUCUGACACAAUAAAAUGCCAUUUUGCAUGUUUC